CGCCUAACACAUGCAAGUCGAACGGAGAGCGUGUUUGUAAUCUUCGGAAGGAAAGAUACGUUCUUAGUGGCGGACGGGUGAGUAACACGUGAGCAACCUGCCUUGCAGAGAGGGAUAACGAUUGGAAACGAUACGCUAAUACCACAUAACAUACAGAUAUCGCAUGAUGACUGUAUCAAAGAUUUAUCGCUGCAAGAUGGGCUCGCGUCUGAUUAGAUAGUUGGUGAGGUAACGGCUCACCAAGUCGACGAUCAGUAGCCGGACUGAGAGGUUGAACGGCCACAUUGGGACUGAGACACGGCCCAGACUCCUACGGGAGGCAGCAGUGGGGGAUAUUGCACAAUGGGGGAAACCCUGAUGCAGCGACGCCGCGUGAGGGAAGAAGGUUUUCGGAUUGUAAACCUCUGUCUUUGGGGACGAUAAUGACGGUACCCAAGGAGGAAGCUCCGGCUAACUACGUGCCAGCCGCAGC
rnacentral:rRNA from 1 species